rnacentral:rRNA from 1 species
GACGAACGCUGGCGGCGUGCUUAACACAUGCAAGUCGAACGUGAUUUUUGUGGAAAUUCUUUCGGGAAUGGAAAUGAAGUGAAAGUGGCGAACGGGUGAGUAACACGUGAGCAACCUACCUUACACAGGGGGAUAGCCGUUGGAAACGACGAUUAAUACCGCAUGAGACCACAGAAUCGCAUGAUAUAGGGGUCAAAGAUUUAUCGGUGUAAGAAGGGCUCGCGUCUGAUUAGCUAGUUGGAAGGGUAAAGGCCUACCAAGGCGACGAUCAGUAGCCGGUCUGAGAGGAUGAACGGCCACAUUGGAACUGAGACACGGUCCAAACUCCUACGGGAGGCAGCAGUGGGGAAUAUUGCACAAUGGGGGGAACCCUGAUGCAGCGACGCCGCGUGAGCGAAGAAGGUUUUCGAAUCGUAAAGCUCUGUCCUAUGAGAAGAUAAUGACGGUAUCAUAGGAGGAAGCCCCGGCUAAAUACGUG